CACUUUCACGAAUCGAUCUAUCGUUCAUAAAAUGCUACAACUACACUACAGCCCAUUCACACACACGCACUUAAAAAAAAAUUGAAUUGUCCAAGUUCACACAAUCGCACGCGCAGACACUCACAGGUGUAGCUGAACUUUCCCACGGUUACCACGUUUUAGGCGCUUUCUUUGGAUACAAAAUUCAUACAUCCUUUGCACGUCAAAAAUCGAAAUAAUUAUGGCGCACUCACACACACGCGCGCACGCUUGGCAGUGAAAUGUGAGAGGGAGAGAGGGUGAGCCAGGAGUAGUAGUAAAACAGUGCCGAGAUUGUGCGAGCAAGCGAGAUAGCACCUUUGGCGACACAGUCACACUCACACACACACACACAUAGGCGCCUGGCAGCGUACGAAUUACGCAAAGUGAAAUAUCUUUCUCAAAAUGGAAAGUGGAAAAGUGACGACGACGACGGCGACGGCGAAGACGACGGUUAUUGUGAAUUUUUCAUACGUCCACCAAGCACAAAAAAUGUAUAUAAGCAAAUGCGUAUAUAGUGUAUAAAUUCAUACUAAAAAUGAGACUUUUGGGCGAGGGGAGGGGUGGAGAAGGAGAAAAUUUGACCGCAAAACGAACAUCACGAGGCGAACGAGGUCGCGCUGCCGAAAGCCCCGUUUCUCAUAGUUUGCCUAUAAAUUUUAGAUCCAGCCAGGCGACAGCCUCGUCUCGCGCCUCAAAAACGCCUAUUUUCGGUCGAAUAAAAGCAAUUUUCAGCACA